CCCGCUCAGAUUGAACGCUGGCGGCAUGCCUUACACAUGCAAGUCGAACGGCAGCACGGGUGCUUGCACCUGGUGGCGAGUGGCGAACGGGUGAGUAAUACAUCGGAACAUGUCCUGUAGUGGGGGAUAGCCCGGCGAAAGCCGGAUUAAUACCGCAUACGAUCUACGGAUGAAAGCGGGGGACCUUCGGGCCUCGCGCUAUAGGGUUGGCCGAUGGCUGAUUAGCUAGUUGGUGGGGUAAAGGCCUACCAAGGCGACGAUCAGUAGCUGGUCUGAGAGGACGACCAGCCACACUGGGACUGAGACACGGCCCAGACUCCUACGGGAGGCAGCAGUGGGGAAUUUUGGACAAUGGGCGAAAGCCUGAUCCAGCAAUGCCGCGUGUGUGAAGAAGGCCUUCGGGUUGUAAAGCACUUUUUGUCCGGAAAGAAAUCCUUGGCUCUAAUACAGUCGGGGGAUGACGGUACCGGAAGAAUAAGCACCGGCUAAACUACGUGCCAGCAGCCGCGGUAAUACGUAGGGUGCGAGCGUUAAUCGGAAUUUACUGGGCGUAAAAGCGUGCGCAGGCGGUUUUGCUAAGACCGAUGUGAAAUCCCCGGGGCUCAACCUGGGAAACUGCAUUGGUGACUGGCAGGCUAGAGUAUGGCAGAGGGGGGGUAAAAAUUCCCACGUGUAGCAUGAAAAUGCGUAGAGAAUUGUGGAGAAAAUACCGUGGGGGAAAGGCAGCCCCCUGGGGCCAAUAAUUUGGACCUUUUUGGCCAAAAAAAGGGGGGG
rnacentral:rRNA from 1 species